rnacentral:rRNA from 1 species
GUUAGGUCAAGGUGUAGCCCAUGAGAUGGGGAAGUAAUGGGCUACAUUUUCUAUAACUAGAACAUCCACGAAAAUCCUUAUGAAAUUAAGUAUUAAAGGAGGAUUUAGUAGUAAAUUCGAGAAUAGAGAGCUCGAUUGAAUCGGG